ACAGAGGGUGCAAGCGUUGUUCGGAAUUAUUGGGCGUAAAGCGCGUGUAGGCUGCGACGUAUGUCGGGUGUGAAAGCCCUCGGCUCAACUGAGGAAGUGCGCCCGAAACUACGUUGCUCGAGUGCUGGAGAGGGUAGCGGAAUUCCCGGUGUAGAGGUGAAAUUCGUAGAUAUCGGGAGGAACACCAGUGGCGAAGGCGGCUACCUGGACGGACACUGACGCUGAGACGCGAAAGCGUGGGGAGCAAACAG
rnacentral:rRNA from 1 species